rnacentral:lncRNA from 1 species
AUCAUGUUAUAACCUAUGAUCACAGAAAGCCCCGAUCCUCACGUUUCUCUGCUGUCACCUGUGGGCUCCUCCAGAGCCGCGAAGAAAGGGGAACUCCAGCCCCACCAUGAGAAGACUGGGUCUUCUGCGCGUGGCGACUCCACCCGUGUGGGAGCUCUGUUAAGGGAGUGCCCGGCAGCACACUUUGCUGUCUGUGGUCUGUGGACAUUGACUGGCACCUAAGCGACACCCAGCUCCCUCCUCUCCCCCUAGAAGCCACUGUCUUAGAGCCUCCAUGCGCAUUUGCUAUGACAUACAUCAAUGUUGAUGAGAGACAGGAACACUGCCGGGUCUUGAGCUGCCAAAAUAAUCAGCUCUGCGCACAACAUGGCUUAAAGGAUUUUCCGGUUAGCAGCAUGCAUCCUCUAAAGAACUUAGACACUCGCAUUUGGUCCGGGGACUUCCACACUCUAGACUCCUGCCGCACAGGCAAGGCAGCUUUGGGCAGUGCUGUGGAAAACCGCCUGUAUCGGAGCGUGGAGAACCUUCACUGGGCGGCAGUGGCUGACUCGGGGCUGCGUUCUCACUGCCGGAGCCUGGACAACGAGAUCAGCUUUGGCUGUAGAGGCAGCAGUCAGUGGGCAGAAGGCUGCGUGGAUGUGGCCCCGCUACGGAGCGCGUCGGACUCGGUGAGAAACCUUUCUCUCCGCCCCAAGCAGACAUCGCGGGCAGUGCAGAACGUGCUGCCCUUUGCCAAAGUGCCUCAGUGGCUCUUCCCCUCUGCAGAGGAAAGAGCCCUACGCGGGGAUGCUAAAAAAGAGCUGAAGGAGAAGCUGAGGCUGCACAGCAGUAAGGUGGCUGAGCCCAGCAAGCCGCUGCGCCCGCAGGCAGCCCUGAGUGAGCUGGUGGCCCAGGAGCUUUCUGAAUGCCAGCUGUGCCAGCAGCACAGGAACGGCUGUGCUGUCAGCUGCUGCACGGUUUUGGGGGAGCACACGGCUCUCAGGCACGGCCUCGCGGGGAGGCAGAGCUGCUGUGCUGCACACAGGCCCGUCAGUCCAGAAGACAUCAAGCAGGAGGCGCAGAGGAGGCUGCAGCUCCGGAGGCAGAACAGCUCGCCCAGCCUGCCCUUUCAGCGUGCUGGGGAAAGCCCGGAGAUGGCAAAAUCCAGAACAGCAGAGUUCCUGGAACGGCACGGUGGGGAAAUAACGCUGGGGCAGGGCAAGAAGGGCCGCUGCAGAGGAAGGCUCUACAUCCCCACCUUCGAGGAAUUCAAGCAAAUGAGGAGUAAGGAGGCAAAGCCACCUGCUGGAAGCAGCGAGCCGACAAAGUGCUUGAAGAAGGGUCUGAUGGCAAACCAGGCCCUGGACAAGGAGAGCAAUAAUGUCUGUCCUGAAGCUCUGGGGACCAAAGCAGUGAAUGAAGCUGCCACCACAGAGGAGGAUGAUGAUGUGUUCCAUGAAAACAACACCACCGCUGGCUUUGCGCAAUAUCCAGCUACAUGGGAUGGUUUCAGGACGAGCAGCCCUGAGGGCAGUCACUGGCUUCUGAAGCCCAGUCCUCUUGCUGUUCAUCGCUGCUGUUAG